UACGGAGGGUGCAAGCGUUAUCCGGAAUCAUUGGGUUUAAAGGGUCCGCAGGCGGAUUUAUAAGUCAGUGGUGAAAUCCUACAGCUCAACUGUAGAACUGCCAUUGAUACUGUAGAUCUUGAAUUAAGUGGGAGUGGGCGGAAUAUAACAUGUAGCGGUGAAAUGCUUAGAUAUGUUAUGGAACACCGAUUGCGAAGGCAGCUGGCUAAACAUAUAUUGACGCUGAUGCACGAAAGUGUGGGUAGCGAACAGG
rnacentral:rRNA from 1 species